AUUGUUUUGUAGAUAUAUAUAUAUCAGUAUAUCCAAAACUUAAAUGUCAAUGUUUUACACACAGUCAAACAGUAAAUUUGAAAAUUAUAUAAGUGACUGAAGAAUAUUUCGCUCUAGCACAUUUAUCAAUUCAGGAUGACGGGCCCUCAAACAAUUUUGGUUUAUGGCUUGAUUGCCAUUCUGAUCAUCAUUAUCGUGAUUAUAUCUAUUAUUUUGCUCGUUGGAUUAUAUAUUCACGAUCCAAAUCGUACAACAACAAAUGAGACGACGACUGAAGAAGCCUUGACUACUUUAUGGACGUAAAUUAGAAAGUCCUCUCUGUACAGUAUUUGUCGUACCCAAUAAAAUUUGUUUAAAUUGUU